ACGGGAGGCAGCAGUGGGGAAUAUUGGGCAAUGGGCGCAAGCCUGACCCAGCAACGCCGCGUGAAGGAAGAAGGCUUUCGGGUUGUAAACUUCUUUUACCAGGGACGAAGGACGUGACGGUACCUGGAGAAAAAGCCACGGCUAACUACGUGCCAGCAGCCGCGGUAAUACGUAGGUGGCAAGCGUUGUCCGGAUUUACUGGGUGUAAAGGGCGUGUAGGCGGAGCUGCAAGUCAGAUGUGAAAGCACGAGGCUCAACUUCGUGUCUGCAUUUGAAACUGUAGUUCUUGAGUGUUGGAGAGGCUAACGGAACUCCUAGUGUAGCGGUGAAAUGCGUAGAUAUUAGGAAGAACACCAGUGGCGAAGGCGGUUAGCUGGACAAUAACUGACGCUGAGGCGCGAAAGCGUGGGUAGCAAACAGGAUUAGAUAUCCUGGUA
rnacentral:rRNA from 1 species